AGAGUUUGAUCAUGGCUCAGAGCGAACGCUGGCGGCAGGCCUAACACAUGCAAGUCGAACGGCUCUUCGGAGCAGUGGCGGACGGGUGGGUAACGCGUGGGAACGUGCCCUUUGGUUCGGAACAACACAGGGAAACUUGUGCUAAUACCGGAUGAGCCCUUUGGGGGAAAGAUUUAUCGCCAUUGGAGCGGCCCGCGUUGGAUUAGGUAGUUGGUGGGGUAAAGGCCCACCAAGCCGACGAUCCAUAGCUGGUCUGAGAGGAUGAUCAGCCACACUGGGACUGAGACACGGCCCAGACUCCUACGGGAGGCAGCAGUGGGGAAUCUUGCGCAAUGGGCGAAAGCCUGACGCAGCCAUGCCGCGUGAAUGAUGAAGGUCUUAGGAUUGUAAAAUUCUUUCACCGGGGAAGAUAAUGACGGUACCCGGAGAAGAAGCCCCGGCUAACUUCGUGCCAGCAGCCGCGGUAAUACGAAGGGGGCUAGCGUUGCUCGGAAUUACUGGGCGUAAAGGGCGCGUAGGCGGACAGUUUAGUCAGAGGUAAAAGCCCAGGGCUCAACCUUGGAACUGCCUUUGAUACUGGCUGUCUUGAGUUCGGGAGAGGUGAGUGGAAUGCCGAGUGUAGAGGUGAAAUUCGUAGAUAUUCGGCGGAACACCAGUGGCGAAGGCGACUCACUGGCCCGAUACUGACGCUGAGGCGCGAAAGCGUGGGGAGCAAACAGGAUUAGAUACCCCGGUAGUCCAA
rnacentral:rRNA from 1 species